rnacentral:rRNA from 1 species
GAUGAACGCUAGCUACAGGCUUAACACAUGCAAGUCGAGGGGUAACGACAUCGAAAGCUUGCUUUUGAUGGGCGUCGACCGGCGCACGGGUGAGUAACGCGUAUCCAACCUGCCCACCACUUGGGGAUAACCUUGCGAAAGUAAGACUAAUACCCAAUGAUAUCUCUAAAAGACAUCUGAAAGAGAUUAAAGAUUUAUCGGUGAUGGAUGGGGAUGCGUCUGAUUAGCUUGUUGGCGGGGUAACGGCCCACCAAGGCUACGAUCAGUAGGGGUGCUGAGAGGAAGGGCCCCCACAUUGGAACUGAGACACGGUCCAAACUCCUACGGGAGGCAGAAGUGAGGAAUAUUGGUCAAUGGACGAGAGUCUGAACCAGCCAAGUAGCGUGCAGGAUGACGGCCCUAUGGGUUGUAAACUGCUUUUAUAAGGGAAUAAAGUGAGUCUCGUGAGACUUUUUGCAUGUACCUUAUGAAUAAGGACCGGCUAAUUCCGUGCCAGCAGCCGCCGUAA